CUUGGUUUAAGUGAGUCCCACAACCUGCCUAAUGAAGAGAAAGAAACUCCCUCAAUCCUGCUAAGAGAGAUGGAAGUCUCCCUAUGUUGCCCAGGCUGGUCUCAAACUCCUAAGCUCAAGCAAUCCUCCUACCUUGGCCUCCCAAAGUGCUGAGAUUACAAGCAUGAGCCACCGUGCCUGGUCUAGCAUGAUUUUUAUCACGACUUUUUCUGUCUUUUAAGAUUGGAAAGGCAUAAAUCAAUAUUUCAGGCCGAGCAGCGCUUGUUUGCCAUCAUUCAUCCAGCAGAGGUCUCUCUUGCCCACCAUACGCUCAGAAGAGUCCCUUGCUUGUGUGUGUGUAUUCAGUACCAGGGGCGUGACCGUCAGGCUGCAGAAUGAAGAAAUACGGACAAAGACUUUCAGGCCUGAGAGACUAAGGAGAAAAGAAUCUGUGGCUUUGGAGGUGGGAUUGCAAUGUUUGAGAAAUGUAUACUUUAAUAAUGACUGUGUUUGAACAGUAGGCUUCAAGUCUGUACUUUAAACUUCUCAAAUUUUGAAUAAAUUGGUCACUUCUUAUUGGAAAAUUA
rnacentral:lncRNA from 10 species